GGAAUUUUCCGCAAUGGGCGAAAGCCUGACGGAGCAACGCCGCGUGAGGGAUGAAGGCCUCUGGGCCGUAAACCUCUUUUAUCGAGGAAGAAGAUCUGACGGUACUUGAUGAAUAAGCCACGGCUAAUUCCGUGCCAGCAGCCGCGGUAAUACGGGAGUGGCAAGUGUUAUCCGGAAUUAUUGGGCGUAAAGCGUCCGCAGGCGGUCUGUCAAGUCUGCUGUUAAAGCGUGGAGCUUAACUCCAUUUCGGCAGUGGAAACUGACAGACUAGAGUGUGGUAGGGGCAGAGGGAAUUCCCGGUGUAGCGGUGAAAUGCGUAGAUAUCGGGAAGAACACCAGUGGCGAAGGCGCUCUGCUGGGCCAUAACUGACGCUCAUGGACGAAAGCCAGGGGAGCGAAAGGGAUUAGAUACCCCAGUAGUC
rnacentral:rRNA from 1 species